UACGUAGGGCGCAAGCGUUGUCCGGAAUUAUUGGGCGUAAAGAGCUCGUAGGCGGUUUGUCGCGUCUGCUGUGAAAACCUAAGGCUCAACCUUGGGCUUGCAGUGGGUACGGGCAGACUAGAGUGCGGUAGGGGUGACUGGAAUUCAUGGUGUAGCGGUGGAAUGCGCAGAUAUCAGGAGGAACACCGAUGGCGAAGGCAGGUCACUGGGCCGCAACUGACGCUGAGGAGCGAAAGCAUGGGGAGCGAACAGG
rnacentral:rRNA from 1 species